rnacentral:rRNA from 1 species
UACAGGGGGUGCAAACGUUGCUCGGAAUUAUUGGGCGUAAAGCGCACGUAGGCGGUUCGUUAUGUCAGAUGUGAAAGCCCUUGGCUCAACUGAGGAAGUGCAUCUGAAACUGGCGAGCUAGAGUAUGUAAGAGGGUCGCGGAAUUCCCGGUGUAGAGGUGAAAUUCGUAGAUAUCGGGAGGAACACCGGUGGCGAAGGCGGCGACCUGGGACAAUACUGACGCUGAGGUGCGAAAGCGUGGGGAGCGAACGGG